UCGCAGCGAUGGCGAUGGCGGGAUGGCGUCACGGAAGUAGAACUGUUCAAGUUCAAAGUUCAAAGUUGAAAUGCACCUCUGCACCUGUAGCAUACAGGAUUAAUGGAGGUGAAAGUAUGUUUUGUUUGUUUGUGAGUAGUUAUAAAGUUUGAUAUCUGCAGAGGCAUAUUCUCCCAAAAAAAUGAAUCUAUAAUCAAACUACUAAAUUUAUAUUUACGUGUUGUGUCGUCGAUUACACUGAACAAUGUUAAGAGCAGAAGCAGUGCCAUUACAGUGUCUGGAUACAUAUAAGUGGAUUUUUUAAUUAUUGAGAACAUGUAAAACCUCAUCAGAUUUUGAAACAGCCUUUGAAUUUAGAAAAAAGACAUUGGCGAAUAUUAUUCCAAAUCUUGAUCUAAUGUGUAAAUGGAGUAAUGUACUCCCUAAAUUUCAGGUUUUUCAAGUUUUGUUCAAAACAUUCAAGGAGUAGAUACUUACCAAGAUUUUUUUAAUAUUUCGUUAGUAUCUGCUGUAUGUUUAAAAAAUCGAAUGAUAAUCAUGCAAAAGGAAGUACAGAAAUAAGUGAAAUUCAAACGCCUCUGCCAAUACUAACCAAAAGAUAUUUAUUGAAUUUUUAUGACGUGAACAAUCGUAGUCAAGGAUUUUCAACUCCAUGGACGACAUCAAAAAUAUAUAGAAAAAGACUUCACAACUUUGGGCAACAGCUACGUGCGGAUUUAUUUUCUUGUGGCUGCCUAUGUUUGUUCUCCUUAACUAUACAUUUUGUAAACUGGACUUGGACAGUCCAUAGUAAACUCAAACCAGUUUUUGAACUGAGUAGAGAACUGUAGGGUUUGCUAUGGAACUCUGAGGACCUCAUUGUCUUGUGACAGGCUGAUUGACACCUAGUCAAUGCCAUUAAAAAAGAUCUGUAGAUUUAUUUAUAACAAUCAUUACGAUAGGAUUGGCUUCAAAUUUGAAAAGUCAAUUUAUGGUUUGUUAUAAAACGAGAAGCAGAUAAGUUAUCAACCGUAUGCUGUUCUACAAAUUAUUUAUGUAUUACAUUUUUGAGGUUUGGAUAUUAUUUAUUAUAUUAUAUUAUUACAUAUUUAUUAUAUUAUUACAUAUCUAUUACCUUACAUUUCUGAGGUUUGGAUCAUUUUUCUAAUGUAUCAUUGGGAUAUUAAAGUAAAAUUAAACUUUAAUCCUAAUCGAUAUAUGUAUAUACAUAUAGAAAAAAUGUGGAGAGCGACUUGGACAGUCCAUAGAAAACUCUAACCAGUUUUUGAACUGAGUAGAGAACUGCAGGGUUUGCUAUGGAACUCUGAGAACCUCACUGUCUU
rnacentral:lncRNA from 1 species